CCACUUAUUGGGCCACCUACGGGCCAUAGGUGGAACCUAUGGACCGUAGGUGGUCCCAUAUAGGUGUUAGAACAAAUAAAUCUUCUAAAUACUACUCCUGACUUCAUCUUCUAAGAUAGCUUCUGGAACCUAUGGACUAUAGGUUGCACCAACGACCGUAGGUGCCCUCCGUAGGUGGAAGGGUCACCUGUUUUUCCUUUUGGUUCUCUAGUUCUCAUCUUCUCUGACACAUACUGUAGCACCUAUUCCUAGUAGGUAGUAAAUAUGGGUCAUAGGUGCCCACUUCAGUUAUCCAAAACUUCAAUUGUCACUCCUUUUCUUUAGAAUAGUUC
rnacentral:lncRNA from 1 species